GAGGGGCAUACCCUCGGGAAACUGAGGCUAAUUCCCCAUAGGAUUUGGUGACUGGAAUGUCCCAAAACCCAAAGCUUCGGCGCCAUAAGAUGGGCCUGCGGCCUAUCAGGUUGUUGGCGGGGUAAUGGCCCACCAAGCCUUUGACGGGUAGGGGCAGUGAGAGCUGAAGCCCCCAGACGGGCACUGAGAUACUGGCCCGAGCCUUACGGGGUGCAGCAGGCGCGAAACCUUUACAAUGCACGCAAGUGUGAUAAGGGAACUCCAAGUGCCAUUGCUUUUUGUGAUGGCUUUUUUUGAGUGUAAAUAGCUCUAAGAAUAAGAGCUGGGUAAGACAGGUGCCAGCAGCCGCGGUAAUACCUGCAGCUCAAGUGGUCUGGAUUUUUAUUGGGUCUAAAGCGUUUGUAGCCGGACUCGCAAGUCUUCUGUGAAAUCUGACGGCUUAACCGUCAGGCGUGCAGGGGAAACUACAAGUCUAGGGACCGGGAAGGGCCAAAGAUACUCUAGGGGUAGGGGUGAAAUCCAAUAAUCCUUAGGGGAUCGCCAGUGGCGAAGGCGUUUGGCUAGAACGGGUCCGACGGUGAGGGACGAAAGCUAGGGGAGCGAACGGGAUUAGAUACCCCGGUAGUCCUAGCCGUAAAUGAUGUGGACUAGGUGUUGCAUUCCCCUUGUGGGAAUGCAGUGCCGAAGGGAAGCCGUUAAGUUCACCACCUGGGAAGUACGUCGCAAGGCCGAAACUU
rnacentral:rRNA from 1 species